UCUGGCCUACACAAACAUGCAGCCACCAUAGUAAAGUUCUUGCAAAGACAUUCUACACGAACUUGCCCAAAGGCGGAAGGAAGGCACGCACAGAUGGACGCACAGAAAUCAUGGGGCUGCCGUAGAAGCUGUGAAUGAGCAUUAACCUACGUACAGAAAGGAGCGAAGUGGAGCUGUCCAUGGGCCAUGCACACAGUUUCAUAAGCAGGCUUGCAACACUUUUGACAAAUAUGUUCCUGAAUACAUCUGCCAAAGUGGCAUUUAAAGAAGCAUGUAGUAGUGUACUUCACUGUUUAUUUGGCAUG